CACGGCCUGCCACAGAGCUGGCACCUCCAGCACUGCAACCGCGAGUCACAAAGAUAUCCAACAACUCCUUCCCAGAAAUUCCUUGGUACAAAUUACCAGGCACGGGGAAUCCUGGGCAGAUUAACGGACGUGCAGGGAGCCCAGAAACAACAAAGCAGAGCUGCUGAUAUGUCACAACCAGAGCAGGUCUGCAUGGGGAACCCCUUUUGGGGUGGGCCCAGCAGCUGCCUGAGCACAGCCACCCCUCUGUUAGUAACAGAGACCAGACUGCUGCAAACCAGGGAGAAUUAGGGCACCCAAUGCAACCUUCCACCCUGUACCACACAUAGGUACUGCCUUGUAGUCAAAUAUCAUACAGUGGAAAAUGAAGCAGAGUGCAUCAGCAGGAACCUAGCUGGAAAAUUGCAUGGUUUCUUUGAUAUUGUAUUUCAUUUACCACUACAAUUUCAACUCCUCAGAGGCAUCUUGCUGUUGAGUGCACGACAAGUCAGGAUUUACAGGUCAGAGAGCAAAAGAAGAAGGGUGAAAACAGACACUUACCUACAACUUUCCACUUUAUAAAUCCUAUUUAUGCCUAACAGAGCAAUUCACAUUUGGUCAGCUACUGUGUGUGUGUGGGGAACUGUUCUGAAAACAGCAGUUUGGCCGAGGCACUGAAAGCAGCCAGCCAGGACAUUUGCUGAGCAGAAAGAUCUGCAAACUCCUGAAGGGGCUAACACAGAGCCAGCACAGUGUGCUCCAAACAGGGCAGGAGCUGAAGCACCCCGUGCUAUCAGCACUGCUGCAGCACAAACCCAACCACAAAUCACACCCAGGAGAAAAUCAACCCCAGUGCCAGCCCAAACCAGCACUGAGAGCUCACCAGUAUCACAGCCACCAGUGCUUGAUGCACAAUCUGGGCUCCUUCAAAGCUUUCCUCUAGCACUAGUGUGCAUCUUCUUCCCCCCUGGCUCACAGACUCGGGCAAGUCCCUGUAACUACCCAGCUGUGCUUCCAGAUUUGCCAGGACAUGUGUUCUCCCAGCUGUGAGCUGUCACUGUGUGCCUCAAGUACAGCAGCAAUGCACACAGGUUCCUUCCCAGCUGGAACAACAACACCCAAGCCAAAGUUCCUUUGCAGUGGCUCCCAGGAGUGACCUUGGCUCCUACAGCCCCAGGGCCAGGCUGGGGGCACAAACACUCCCCUGCCACCUCCUCCAGGGGAACAGCAGCCAACAGCAGCUCCCAGCUGCAGAGACCACCAGGGUAUCACAGCAACACCGGCCCUCAGAAACCCACAUCUCCAUCCCCAAAAUGUGCAUUAAACCUGCCUGGGAAAGCACCAGAGAGCACAAGUCCUGCUGAACUGCAGAACUCAUCAUAACCAGCUGCAACCAAGGCACCUGUCAGCCCCCAGAAACACAACUUCUAUUUCAACAGCACUCCUACCUGUCCCAAGAAAGGUCCUGCAGGGGUAAGAGCUGCAGAGAGUGAAAACCUCACAUUACAACGUUGGGACUAGAAAGAGACAUCUACAGCGUUCACCUGAACACCUGGAUCAAAAUGACAGCUGGAAGAUCAGAAAUGAACACGCAGUACUUGUGUUUGUAAACCUAUGUAUGCACCUCAAUUCUCAAAUAUUCCAAAGAUCCUAUUUUUCCUUUAGCUGAAAACAGAGUUCAGAU
rnacentral:lncRNA from 12 species